rnacentral:rRNA from 1 species
GACGAACGCUGGCGGCGUGCUUAACACAUGCAAGUCGAACGAAGAGCGAUGGAAGCUUGCUUCUAUCAAUCUUAGUGGCGAACGGGUGAGUAACGCGUAAUCAACCUGCCCUUCAGAGGGGGACAACAGUUGGAAACGACUGCUAAUACCGCAUACGAUCUGACCUCGGCAUCGAGGAUAGAUGAAAGGUGGCCUCUGCAUGUAAGCUAUCACUGAAGGAGGGGAUUGCGUCUGAUUAGCUAGUUGGAGGGGUAACGGCCCACCAAGGCGAUGAUCAGUAGCCGGUCUGAGAGGAUGAACGGCCACAUUGGGACUGAGACACGGCCCAGACUCCUACGGGAGGCAGCAGUGGGGAAUCUUCCGCAAUGGACGAAAGUCUGACGGAGCAACGCCGCGUGAGUGAUGACGGCCUUCGGGUUGUAAAGCUCUGUUAAUCGGGACGAAAGGCCUUUUUGCGAAUAGUGAGAAGGAUUGACGGUACCGGAAUAGAAAGCCACGGCUAACUACGUG